GAUGAAGAACGUAGUGAAAUGCGAUAAGUAAUGUGAAUUGCAGAAUUCAGUGAAUCAUCGAAUCUUUGAACGCAUCUUGCGCUCCUUGGUAUUCUGAGGAGCAUGCCUGUUUGAGUGUCAUUAAAUUCUCAACUACACUGACUUUGAAUUGGUGUGGCUUGGAUUUGGGGGGAAAAUUGUUGUGGGCUUUUUGUAUAGUCUGCUCCCCUGAAAUUGAUUAGCGGUACCUUUGUGGAACUGUCUACAGGUGUGAUAAUUAUCUACAUCUUAGACAUCUGCUGGAAUGCUGCUCUCUAAACCUUACUUGUAUUGACAAUCUUGACCUCAAAUCAGGUAGGACUACCCGCUAAACUUAAGCAUAUCAAUAAGCGGAGGA
rnacentral:misc_RNA from 1 species